UACGGACCAAAGUGGGGGACCUUCGGGCCUCAUGCCAUCAGAUGUGCCCAGAUGGGAUUAGCUAGUAGGUGGGGUAACGGCUCACCUAGGCGACGAUCCCUAGCUGGUCUGAGAGGAUGACCAGCCACACUGGAACUGAGACACGGUCCAGACUCCUACGGGAGGCAGCAGUGGGGAAUAUUGCACAAUGGGCGCAAGCCUGAUGCAGCCAUGCCGCGUGUAUGAAGAAGGCCUUCGGGUUGUAAAGUACUUUCAGCGGGGAGGAAGGUGUUGUGGUUAAUAACCGCAGCAAUUGACGUUACCCGCAGAAGAAGCACCGGCUAACUCCGUGCCAGCAGCCGCGGUAAUACGGAGGGUGCAAGCGUUAAUCGGAAUUACUGGGCGUAAAGCGCACGCAGGCGGUCUGUUAAGUCAGAUGUGAAAUCCCCGGGCUCAACCUGGGAACUGCAUUUGAAACUGGCCGGCUUGAGUCUCGUAGAGGGGGGUAGAAUUCCAGGUGUAGCGGUGAAAUGCGUAGAGAUCUGGAGGAAUACCGGUGGCGAAGGCGGCCCCCUGGACGAAGACUGACGCUCAGGUGCGAAAGCG
rnacentral:rRNA from 1 species